CUUGUACUGUGUCCACCUGGUGGAGUUAGCAAGUAUAUUGUGUCAGUCACUGGGGAUGAUAUAGCUUGUACUGUGUCCACCUGGUGGAGUUAGCAAGUAUAUUGUGUCAGUCAGUUGGUAUGAUAUAGCUUGUACUGUGUCCACUUGGUGGAGUUAGCAAGUAUAUUGUGUCAGUCAGUUGGUAUGAUAUAGCUUGUACUGUGUCCACUUGGUGGAGUUAGCAAGUAUAUUGUGUCAGUCAGCGGGGAUGAUAUAGCUUAUACUGUGUCCACCUGGUGGAGUUAGCAAGUAUAUUGUGUCAGUCAGCGGGGAUGAUAUAGCUUGUACUGUGUCCACCUGGUGGAGUUAGCAAGUAUAUUGUGUCAGUCAGCGGGGAUGAUGUAGCUCGUAUUUUGUAUCUGUCUUGAAAUAGCUUGUAUUGUGUCAGCCAGGGUGAUAUAACAGCUGAAGUGUUAUCUGGGAUGAUAAGGCAAGUAUAUUGUGUCAGCGGGGAUGAUAUAGCUUAUAUUGUGUCAACCAGGGUGAUAUAACAGCUGAAGUGUUAUCUGGGAUGAUAAGGCAAGUAUAUUGUGUCAGCGGGGAUGAUAUAGCUUAUAUUGUGUCAACCAGGGCGAUAUAAUGGCUGAAGUGCUGUCUAGGAAAGUAAAGCGAGUGUUUUGUGUCAUCUGGGAUUAUACAACGGCUGAAGUGUUAUCUGGGAUGAUAUUGCUAACAUUGUCACAACCUUGAUCGUACCGCUUGGACUGUGUUGGCUUUGAAGGUAUUGUAAGUUUUGUGUGAUUCAGGAUGAGAAGCAAGUACUGUGUAAGCUGGAAUGAUAAAGUAUUAAGUCGGCCUGGAUGAUAUAAUGAGAGUAUUGUCAGCGAUGAUAAAGCAAGUAUUGCUUCAUCUGGGAUGAUAUAGCAUGUAUUGUGUUAUCUGGGAUGUUAUGACAAAUAUUGUGAUGACUCUGAGAAUGACUGACGUUAUAUUGUUAUUUCUGUGUACUUUCUUAGAGCCUUCUUGUGAAAAUAUGUUCAGAGAGUUAUUUAUUAGCUGCCAUGAUUGUUGACCUACCUAGUUGUGUGUAUAUAUCAACAGUAUUUUGCAUACUAUUUUCCCUGAAACUUAUUGUCACAUGUAGAUCCAGAGAAAUGUCAAAACAACACGAAUAAAAAGAUUUUCGUGGAUUGAAACAUAUGCUGCUAAAAAAUUGUUAAGGAUCACCCUGUUCUGUUAAAUUUUAAUAAUCUGUCAAUCCGCAACAUAUUAACUGAAGUAAUAUGUAAAGAUUGGUGGUCCUUAAACCUUUUAGUGGUAUAUUUUUCCUGUCAGCCAAAUAUACUUAAUGAGAAUUAACAGGGUCGUAACUUCUGCCUUUGAUAAGCACCACAUGUGGUUUUAAUCAAACUUGACGUUGGAAAGAGGAAUGCAUGUGAUCUGACAGUUUGGGGUAAAUUUGUAUGUAUUAACUUAUUAUUAACUAGCAUACUUACUUACGUCAUAUGGUACACAAUUUUACGUGGUUCUGAUUCAAAAUAUUAGUAACAAUUAAAUGUCCAUUUUACUCAUUAUUCAUCAGUAUUUGUCCAGUUUUAUCACAUAUUUGAAACUUAAGAUGUACACUAUAUUUACUGAUAUAAGGGCAAUCUCUACUUGCUGGAGGUGUAACAAUACAUGGCUUAAACCAUAUCACUUGUCCCACAUGAGUUGUCUUGGAAACGUGUAUUUAAAGUGAACAGAGUGGUUCCAUUUCAGAGGAAUGAAAGGAGGUUAAGUAUACUGGUAGUUACAUCAUAUAUUCACCAUUACGAAGGUCCCAUCGUGGGGUAUUGUUUGAAACCCAUGACUGGUAGCUUACUGUAGUUUUCUUGGAAUACUGCUCAAAGUGACACUUGACCUGACUUAUUCAGCAUUUGGCAGUUUCUUGCAUUGACUAUCAAACAUUAUCAGAAUUUUCAAAACAAUUUGUUCAAAUGAAUAUUUCUUUUCAAUAGAAACGGUAUCUGCCUGUGGAAAUAUGGGUGGUAGGGUAGCCUAGGGGUUAAAGCGUUUGCGCGUCACACCAAAAACCCUGGUUGGAUUCCCCACAUGGGUACAAUGUGUGAAGCCCAUUUCUGGUGUUCCCCCGCUGUAAUAUUGCUGGAAUAUUGCUAAAAGCAGCGUAAAACUAAACUCACUCACUCACCUGUGGAAAUGAUGAUAUUGGCGAUCUUAGAUCACGAUCAGUGCUGCAGUAUUGUUACGCCACCAACAUGUACAGGUUGGACAAUAUCUGUAGCAUGUCUUUAGUAGCUUAGUGGCUGAAUGCUUGAUCCUUGAUCUGCACGUGUUACUGGCCCUGUGGGGAUUAAUGGUAAAAAUUGUGUUCACAAAACUUUACUUUCACUAGUGCAUUGGUAAAGUCGACUGGAAAGAGAUAAAAAUCUGUAUUGUUUUUCUCAUGAAUUGAAUACUAAAGAUUUGUGUUAAAGUUUGCAGAUGGGUUGGACGUGUAAUUGAGAACACGCUUUGGAGAAUGUCUUACCUUUCGAAUUCAUAUCUUACCAUUAUUACAAUAUGCAUGGUUGAUUUAAAUCUGUGAUUUUCUAUGGCUCAAUUUCAGUAUUGUAUGGGAUUAUUUUAAAAUAUGUUAAAUAAAUGGCAGUACAAGUGACAAGAUAUAUGUUUUUAAAUAAUGUCUACCUAUUUUGGGAAAUAUUUGUAAAGGACAAGAAGUGUGUCCACAAAAAAAUAUGUUUAAUCAAGGAACUUAAUAAAUUCAAAUUUUUUGAAAUUCCUGUGAUUAUCAUUUGCAGUCAGGUAGUACUGAGUAACAGUUCACUGUUUAGACACAAUGUAAAUUAAUUGCACAGAUCAGCAUUAUCUCAUUGGUUCCUCUCAUUGUAGCGUGACAGACAUGGGAAGGGCAGGAUUCAAACUCCAUGUCAGCUUAUAAUUCAAGUAUUAUUUAGUGUUGUAUAACACCAUGGUUGCAAGAUCAUGAAAAAACAAACAAUGACCAGGUCAAACAGUUGAAAAUAAUUAUUUUUAAAAAUUUGUAUGACAAAAUCUUUUAGAAUGCUGUCAGCUAUAUUGUGGUGAUGAUCACCCAUGUGGAAGGUAACUUUGCCAGGAAGACUGAUUGUUGGAUAACUUUGGGGCUUUCAAACCACAAACUGUUGUUAGUACAGAUUGUCUAAUUAGUUUAUUCUUUUUUCUGUUUUGCUGUUGUCGUGAUGACCAGGGCAGACUGUGAUAACAUGUUCACCUGAAGACUGGAUAGAGUUACUAGCAAGACGCUAGCUUCUGUUAAAUACUUUCUUAGUAUGUUGCCAUUUCUCAGUGUUCAGAUUAUUAAGUAAAGUGAAUGGUGAGGAUCUAGGUUAUGUAAGUACAACACACUUUAGUGGUAAAGUGUUAACGAUGGUGAUUAAAAUUAACAUCACAGAAUGCAAUUAAUAAAGUUCAGCUAUAUGCUGAAAAAAUGGAAUUUUCUUUGUCAGAAUAACAGGCAUAACAAUCUUUGAAGUAUAACUGUCAUCAUGUUAUUUUGGGAGAAGGUGUAUUUCUGUUUAAGGUGGAAAUACAUAAAGAAUACUUAUUCCUUUAGUAUUGUUUUAAUGAACAAUUAGGACAGAAACUUUGUAAAAGCCUUUCCCACGUGUCAGCAUUUUUGGCUCGGUAUUGGAGACGAGAGAAACGCAUUGUAAGAAAAGUGCAAUAUGUCAGUGAAUUAUUGCUAUAUAUACUUAUACAGUUUCACUAUGUUGUAGAAAUAUAUAUAUAUACAUAGAUAUACAUAAGCUGUAAGGACUGUGGUCAGAAUGUUUAUUCUCAGACAGUUCCAGUUGUAUCAAGGAUGAAAUGAAACACUGUUUCAACAUGCAUUGUUACUUUCUUCAUGCUAUGCUAUAAAUGUCAUAACACCUUAUCUGAUUGAAAUGUGUGGAUCUGUUCUCAUAAUAUGCUGAUUAUGUUUUGACAUUAAUUUUAUGUGAAAUAUAUAUGUCAAAACAAUAUCGACAGAUAUUCAGACUAAAAAUAGGCUUCUCGUAUAAAAUACAAUUCUCUUGAGAACUAUCCACAUGAUCCAAAUAAUUUAUAACAGUCCAGUAUGUAAUGCAUUGUAUGAGACCUUAUCCCAUGCAUCGGUGAUUUGUUUCAUGAUAUGCAGAAGUAUAUAAUACUACCUGCAUGUCUAAAAUCGGAUACAAACUAUGAAAUUUCAAAUCAGUUGGAAAUUGUUAUUAGGAAUGCAUAGCGUACAUGCUUGUAGAUCAUGUUGGUUCUUGUGGCUCUGUGAAAGUGUUCUAUGUUUGAUCCCUAGGAGAUCUACUUGAUCUUUCAUUCUACUGUGAUUUCUGCUCAACUCUGGACUCCGGAGAUGACUGGUCGGGACUCUUGUCUCACUCUCAAUGGUGCAAUUUCAGUGUUGUGAGUUUCCUGCACCUUAGAUCUUACACGUUGGAUUGCUGCCUGUUGCUCCCAUCUCACCUGUUAAUAAAUGUGCUAUACUCCA